rnacentral:rRNA from 1 species
UACGUAGGGAGCAAGCGUUGUCCGGAAUCAUUGGGCGUAAAGCGCGCGUAGGUGGCUUCGUAAGUCCGCUGUGAAAGUCAAAGGCUCAACCUUUGAAAGCCGGUGGAUACUGUGAAGCUAGAGUACGGAAGAGGCGAGUGGAAUUCCUGGUGUAGCGGGUGGAAUGCGCAGAUAUCAGGAGGAACACCAAUAGCGAAGGCAGCUCGCUGGGACGUUACUGACACUGAGGCGCGAAAGCGUGGGGAGCGAACAGG